rnacentral:rRNA from 1 species
UACGUAGGGUGCGAGCGUUAAUCGGAAUUACUGGGCGUAAAGCGUGCGCAGGCGGUGAUGUAAGACAGGUGUGAAAUCCCCGGGCUCAACCUGGGAACUGCAUUUGUGACUGCAUGGCUAGAGUACGGUAGAGGGGGAUGGAAUUCCGCGUGUAGCAGUGAAAUGCGUAGAUAUGCGGAGGAACACCGAUGGCGAAGGCAAUCCCCUGGACCUGUACUGACGCUCAUGCACGAAAGCGUGGGGAGCAAACAGG